AGAGGAUCUCAAAGUUUGGGCUCAGGGCCAGCAGUAUAGCGAUCAUCUGGGAACUGGUCAGGAAUGAAAAUGCACAGGUCUUACUUGGGCCUGGCGGUCUAUUUUAAUAAAGCCUUACUGGUGAUUCUGAUGCAAGCUCCAAAUAUGAGAACAGCUGAUUUAAGGAGCCACAUAUGUAUCUUUCUGGCUUAGAAAGAAGUUUGUAGUUAAGUCAGCUUAGUUACUAUGAGGUUAAGAAUAUAUCUUGGCUUAGAGAUUCAGAAAACCAAAUAUCCACACAUACACAAAUCUACUUUUUAAAACCUAUUUUAUUUUUUUAUUAGUGAUAUAAUAUUGAUUAAGAAGAUUGUAAAAUGACAAGAGCACAAUUUCAUACAGUUCCCACCACCAGAGUUCCUUGUCCUGUUCCCUCCAUUAGAAGCUUCCCUAUUCUUUAUCCCUAUGGGAAUAUGGACCAGAAUUAUUAUUUUUUUUGUAAUUUCUUUAUUGGGGGAUUAAUGUUUUACAUUCAACAGUAAAUACAAUAGUUUGUAUAUGCAUAACAUUUCUCAGUUUUCCACAUAACAAUACAAUCCCCACUGGGUCCUCUGUCAUCCUUUUUGGACCUGUACUCUCUCCCACCCACCCCAGAGUCUUUUACUUUGGUGCAAUACAUCAACUCCAGUUCAGGUUCUACUUGUUUUUUCUCUUCUGAUCUUGCUGUUCAACUUAUGCUAGAGAGUGAGAUCAUCCCAUAUUCAUCCUUCUGUUUCUGACUUAUUUCACUUAACAUGAUUUCUUCAUGGAUCAAAAUUCUUAUGGGGUGCAGAAGGUGGGAGUUCUGGCUUCUGUAAUUGCUUCUCCACUGGACAAGGAUGUUGGCAGGUGGAUCCACACCCCCAGCCUGUCUCUGUCUUUCCCCAGUGGGGCAGGGGUCUGGGGCGGGGAGGUUCUAGGACACAUGGGUGAGGUCGUCAGCCCAGGGAAGUCAGGGUGGCAUCAUAGUAGCAUCUGGAACUUGGUGGCUGAAAUUCAGUAAGCUGUAAAGCAGGACAAAUGUUUAAUAAACCGGAACCACAAAGUAAGGAUAGAGCAGAUGAAAGAAGGGACCUUAGGGUAGAAGAAAGUAGAAAAAGCUAUUGUAGGAAUGUUCCUAGGAGCCUGUGUUUUAAUAAUCUUUGCUUGAGCUUGAAAGCUGAUGUGGGGGUGGGCUAGAAAUAUUGUCUGUGAAGAUGGUGUCAGAGUUAGGACUAUAACAAGGAAGCAGGAUUAGGACAGAGAGUUGCUCUCAAACUUGAAGAAGAUACAUAAAUGCAAUUAACUGUUUACCACACCGAUCUAACAUGGGGCCUGUAUCCAUUCCUAUUUAGCCCAGGAGUCUGUACAACCUCUGAGUCCCUGUCUGUCUGAGCUCACAGUCCAUAGUCACAGCUGGGAACAUUCUAGGCUGCACUCAUUUCAGAGCUAGUCUUUCUCCAGUGGCAGAGUAGGCUGACCCAGCUUUCCUUUGGAGAGUGGGGCAGUUCUUACCUUUGCUAGUUCAUAUUGAGGGUACAGUCCUGAAAAAACCCACAAAAGGGUUUAUAAUGAUAUUCCCAAUGGGUGUGACCAGUGAUGGUGGAGAGAGGGAUCUAUCAGAGGUCUAGUGGUUAUACAAAAGGCUUUUAGGCCUGGUGCUCCUAGGUCCAAGGUUCAAUCCCUAGUACCACUAGAAGCCAGAGAUGAGCAGUGCUCUGGGAAUAACAAGAGACUGGGUACUGACAGUGUGGGACAGGGUACUUUAGAGAACACUCAUCACAAGCCUCACAUUACUGACAGAAUGUACGUUCUUGAACAUACUAUAGUGACAUCAUAAGAAGCCUAUGUGGACAUAGUCCUUUUGUGAAAAGUUUUGUAAGAUUCACUAUGUUUUACUAACUGAUGAAUAAAUAUCUGGAGUGGAAAUGGAGACCUUGAUGUGAAAAUGAAAAGCUGUAUGACAAAUCAUAUUUGAAAUGCUUUUAACUUUUGGUAGGAACUCUAAAGUAGUUGCUUUCUAGUGACCACUAGGCUUGACUACAAGAAGUUUGCCUUAGAAUUGCAAUGAGCUCAUUUUCACAUUGAUAUAAGGAAACUAGGAUACACACUUCACAAGUAUACAUAUUCUCUGUGGAUAUAUAUCUAUAUAUGUAUAUCUAUCUAUAUAUCUAUCUCAAAUUUGCUCUAGUUUGACUAAAAUGUACAAGGAAGCCUGCAAUUGGAGUUAAAUUUUAUCUUUAAAUAAAAAUUAAAUCCGCUUAAUUAGCGACCUAGGAAUGGUUUGAAUGUGAAAAGAGAAUGUUGGCCAGGAGCAGGACUGUGAUCUUAGCAGUUAUUUAUGUCACAGUGGUGUCUCGAUAACCUCUUGCAGAGAGGAAACAUUUCUCACCAGUUGUCUCUAGAAAACAGCCAGGAAAUUAAAGAGCCAUUGGGAAAAACCUUUAUUGUAAAUAUUCUUUAUCUGUGUCUCUGAAAAGAACUUUGAAAGCAAAAAGUUUCAGAAUUCCUUAUGACUCUCCCAGUGUAUUAGUUGGAUUUUUCCAUGAUUCGUAUAUAACUGAUGUGACUGUGGAGAGGGCCAGAGUGGUGGGUGUGUGAAUAUAACCUGGCAGUCAAUGGGAAUACUUAAGAAAUAGGAAAAAUGUGGAUGUAUUAUGAACUUUGCUUUUCCUGCAUACCCAUGCUUUGUAAUCGUGUUCCAUUAUCUGUUUCCCCUUCUUGGAAUAGUACUAGAACUUCCACUUUUUAGUUGGGCACACAGCUACCCAGAAUGCUAUGUGUCUCAUGGCUCAGUGAGCCAUGGCCGUCUACAUCCUAGACAGAAGUGAGUGAGAGCAGAGCACACCACUUUCAGUCAGUGCCACUCACAGGCUGGGCUGUUGUUCUUCUCCCCAUCUGUUUCCCAUGGGCUGGGCUAUGGGGCUAGUAGCCCAGAGUAGGUGGUAAGCAGACGCCAUGGCUCAAGAUGUGGCCCAGGAAACUACCAGUUGUCUAUUGGUGCAUAAGAAAGCCCUUAAUAGCUUAAAGCAAUGAACGUCUUGCAGCCUUUGUGAUCAGGAAUUCAGGCAUGACUUGACUUGGUAGUUUUAUUUCAGGGCUCAUGGAGUUGUCAUCAGACUGGUGACCUGGGCCACACCAGCUGAGCAGGAAGAGCUCUUCUGAGAUGGUUUACUCGGAUGACACUUGACUGGAGGCUUCAGCUACACACUGGCUACUGACAAAAGUUGAUUACCUCAACACUUUGCCACACUUUGACAUCUUCUUAGGCGUGUCCAGAGUGUCCACUAGUUUCUCCCCAAGUAAGGAGGCAGCUGCGGUGUUUUUUAUGACUAGUUUGGCAUCAUACUGUCAGUUCUGCUGUGGUCAGUUCAUUAAAGGCAUGUCACUAACUUCAGCCCACAUUUGUGGGGAGAGGAAUAGACGCCACACAUUGAGAAGGAUGUUAGGACAGAAUCAUUGUCACCCACUGAUAUGUCUAAGCCCCAGAGACAGUAAAUGUUACCUUGCAUGGAAUAAAGGGCUUUUCUCAUGUAAUUAAAUAUCUUGAGAGGAAAGUGAACAUGGGUUAUCUGUGUAAGCUUGCUGUAAUCAUAAGGUAUUUUUAUUUAUUUUUUUUCUUUUCUUUUUUCUUUUAAUCAGAGCCCUGCUCAGCUCUGGUUUAUGAUGAUGCAGGGGAUUGAACCUGGGACUUUGGAGCUUCAGGCAUAAGAGUCUCUGCAUAACCACUGUGCUAUCUGCUGACCUCAUAAGGGUCUUUAUAAAAGGAAAGCAAAGGGCCAGAGUGGGGGUAAGGGUGAGAGUGGAGGUGAGGGUCGGGGGGUGAGGGCUGGGGGGCUGAGCGUCAGAGCGGUAAGCGUGAUGUUGGAAGCAGGCCAGAUUGCUGGCCCCGCCGUGGAGGCCUGCAUGAAGCUAGUAUGAGCUGGCAAUGGCAAGUCACAGGUUCUCCCAGAGAGCAACUACCCAGAUGCAACACAACCUCUGAUUUUAGUCCUGUAAGCCUGGUUCUGGACUUGUGACUCCAGAAAUUGUUCAUGCUAUAACAUGUGUGACUAUUUGUAUCAGGAGGUACUAGUACAGACACCAAAGUACUUGUGGACGUAUUUUAAAACCACCAGCACCCAUCUUCUGGGCACCAAUCUUUUACAGUUUCCCACAUGCAAAACACAUUAACCCUUCCAAGGCUACACAGUCAUCUUACUACGACACCAGUCCAAGGUCAGUCCUCUGUCCUCUACACAGUGCUGGGGUAGAUGAGGCUACUUGCAUAUAGUUCCUUAGAAACAGCACCUCUCAAUCUGAGGUUUCUGGGAAUUUAGGAAAAAAGCAAUAUGCAUACUUCCUCACAACAACGGAUGUAAAAAUGCCUGGAUGGAUAAGAUACCUGCCUCAGACGUCUUGUUCUACCAAGUAAGAGGCAGAAGGUAAUAAGUAGCUGGAGCAUAGUGAGCCUUAAACUUUGCCUGGAAGUUGACAGUUCCACACUCCAGGCCUGAGGAUAAUUGUCCAUGACUUUUCACUCCUCCCUCCUGACUUGAUUUCCCUAAGUCAUCCUUUGUUUUGUGAAAGGUGGUAUGUCUGCAACUAAAUAGUUUUCUCCAUCUUCUUGCGUCUAGAACAUGAGAGUGCACAGGGCUUUUGUAAUAUUGAUUUUAUUAGCUUCAAAUGGCAGCAUCUUUCACCACGUAUCACUCCUUGAAAAAUGUCUCUUGAUAAUCUCACUUAUAGGUGGAAUUUAAGAAACAAAGACAGAGAGGAAAAACACAAAACAAAACUUGGACUGGACAGGGAGCUGUAUUGCACCAAAGCAAGGCUGUCUGGAGAAGGAGGAGGAGGGAGGGGAUAGAGAGAGCCUUGGCGUCUAGGGGCAUGAUGAUGGAAAAGGACCCACGUUGCAGGAGAGUUCACAAAGGCCUUUCGCAGGGAGGUGAGAAAUUGUACCCUUAUGUUAAAACUGUACUGUAAUCCAUUAGCUCCCCAAUAAAAAUGGUGAUACAAAAAG